rnacentral:rRNA from 1 species
UACGUAGGUAGCGAGCGUUGUUCGGAGUUACUGGGCGUAAAGCGUGCGUAGGCGGUGUUCCAAGUCUGUUGUGAAAUCUCCCGGCUUAACUGGGAGGGUGCGGCGGAAACUGGGACGCUGGAGUGCGGGAGAGGUAAGCGGAAUUCCUGGUGUAGCGGUGAAAUGCGUAGAUAUCAGGAGGAACACCUGCGGUGUAGACGGCUUACUGGACCGUAACUGACGCUGAGGCACGAAAGCGUGGGUAGCAAACAGG